rnacentral:rRNA from 1 species
UGGGGAAUAUUGCGCAAUGGGGGGAACCCUGACGCAGCAACGCCGCGUGAGCGAAGAAGGCCUUCGGGUUGUAAAGCUCAAUAGUAUGGGAAGAUA